AGUUNUNUCCUGGCUCAGAUUGAACGCUGGCGGCAGGCUUAACACAUGCAAGUCGAGCGGAGAGAUGUAGCUUGCUACUGAUCUUAGCGGCGGACGGGUGAGUAAUGCUUAGGAAUCUGCCUAUUAGUGGGGGACAACAUUUCGAAAGGAAUGCUAAUACCGCAUACGUCCUACGGGAGAAAGCAGGGGAUCUUCGGACCUUGCGCUAAUAGAUGAGCCUAAGUCGGAUUAGCUAGUUGGUGGGGUAAAGGCCUACCAAGGCGACGAUCUGUAGCGGGUCUGAGAGGAUGAUCCGCCACACUGGGACUGAGACACGGCCCAGACUCCUACGGGAGGCAGCAGUGGGGAAUAUUGGACAAUGGGCGCAAGCCUGAUCCAGCCAUGCCGCGUGUGUGAAGAAGGCCUUAUGGUUGUAAAGCACUUUAAGCGAGGAGGAGGCUACUUUAGUUAAUACCUAGAGAUAGUGGACGUUACUCGCAGAAUAAGCACCGGCUAACUCUGUGCCAGCAGCCGCGGUAAUACAGAGGGUGCAAGCGUUAAUCGGAUUUACUGGGCGUAAAGCGCGCGUAGGCGGCUAAUUAAGUCAAAUGUGAAAUCCCCGAGCUUAACUUGGGAAUUGCAUUCGAUACUGGUUAGCUAGAGUGUGGGAGAGGAUGGUAGAAUUCCAGGUGUAGCGGUGAAAUGCGUAGAGAUCUGGAGGAAUACCGAUGGCGAAGGCAGCCNUCGGCCUAA
rnacentral:rRNA from 1 species